UGGGGUGUAGCUCAGUAGUAGGGUGUCUGUUUGGUAUUCAUGAAGCCCUGGGUUCAGUUCCCAGUACCAAAA
rnacentral:tRNA from 1 species